CCUACGGGGGGCAGCAGUGAGGAAUAUUGGUCAAUGGGCGGGAGCCUGAACCAGCCAAGCCGCGUGAGGGAAGAAGGUACAGCGUAUCGUAAACCUCUUUUGUCAGGGAACAAAGGCGGGGACUAGUCCCCGGAUGAGGGUACCUGAAGAAAAAGCAUCGGCUAACUCCGUGCCAGCAGCCGCGGUAAUACGUAGGGGGCUAGCGUUAUCCGGAAUUACUGGGCGUAAAGGGUGCGUAGGUGGUUUCUUAAGUCAGAGGUGAAAGGCUACGGCUCAACCGUAGUAAGCCUUUGAAACUGGGAAAC
rnacentral:rRNA from 1 species